rnacentral:rRNA from 1 species
UAGGGAAUCUUCGGCAAUGGGGGCAACCCUGACCGAGCAACGCCGCGUGAGUGAAGAAGGUUUUCGGAUCGUAAAGCUCUUUUGUAAGAGAAGAACGUGUGUGAGAGUGGAAAGUUCACACAGUGACGGUAACUUACCAGAAAGGGACGGCUAACUACGUGCCAGCAGCCGCGGUAAUACGUAGGUCCCGAGCGUUGUCCGGAUUUAUUGGGCGUAAAGCGAGCGCAGGCGGUUUAAUAAGUCUGAAGUUAAAGGCAGUGGCUUAACCAUUGUUCGCUUUGGAAACUGUUAAACUUGAGUGCAGAAGGGGAGAGUGGAAUUCCAUGUGUAGCGGUGAAAUGCGUAGAUAUAUGGAGGAACGCCGGUGGCGAAAGCGGCUCUCUGGUCUGUAACUGACGCUGAGGCUCGAAAGCGUGGGGAGCAAACAGG